GACGAACGCUGGCGGCGCGCUUAACACAUGCAAGUCGAACGGUAAGGCCCUUCGGGGUACACGAGUGGCGAACGGGUGAGUAACACGUGGGUGAUCUGCCCUGCACUUCGGGAUAAGCCUGGGAAACUGGGUCUAAUACCGGAUAGGACUCCUGGCUUCAUGGUUGGGGGUGGAAAGCUUUUGCGGUGUGGGAUGGGCCCGCGGCCUAUCAGCUUGUUGGUGGGGUAAUGGCCUACCAAGGCGACGAGGGGUAGCCGGCCGGAGAGGGUUACCGGUCACACUGGGACGGAGAUACGGACCAGACUCCUACGGGAGGCAGCAGUGGGGAAUAUUGCACAAUGGGCGCAAGCCUGAUGCAGCGACGCCGCGUGAGGGAUGACGGCCUUCGGGUUGUAAACCUCUUUCAGCUAUGACGAAGCGCAAGUGACGGUAGUAGCAGAAGAAGGACCGGCCAACUACGUGCCAGCCGCCGCGGUAA
rnacentral:rRNA from 1 species